UUUAACUUCUUUUUUGAAAAUUUAAAAUUUAAAAUUACAACCACUUGCAUGGAAGCUACCCCACUUGGAUUCAGUGCAGUGUAUCCAACCCUCCCUAUACUCCUCCUUCGAUAAUCUCUUUCCUCUACACCUCUCCCUCUUUCUCUCCCUCUUUCAUCUCUAUAUCUAUUGUAGGCAUUCCCAUCUCCAUCCCCAACAACUACAACAAAAACUAAAACAACAACAACAACAACCACAGCCACUACCAAAACAACAACAUCAACAUCAAAGGUUGAAAUUCAGCAAGUUUGGAAGAUUUUUCCUCAUGGAAACCAUGAUUUCAUCUGCUUGAGAGGUGAUUUUAGGGAAUUAAAAUCUACACACGGCCAAUGUAGCUGGAUUUCAUUCAUGUGAAUCCAUGUUCAGAUCUGGUCUUUCUGGAAUCUGAAGCUGAAGUUCCGCUGCCGCUCUUUAACAUCUGCAGAUUUCAAGAUGGUUGUCUUCAGUUCCUAAGAUUGCUGGGCCGGCGCUUUGUUAUGUUCAGAGAAGAAGAAAAGAAAAUACAAGAAUAGAAAUUCAAUAUUGUGGUUCUUUCGAAAACACAGCUAUCCCAAUCCUGUUUGUAUCUGUUGCCCUUUACUGGAACCCGGAGCUUAAGUUUGGUCCUUUUAUAAGUUCAUCAUCUGGUGCGUUGCUGUGACAAGAUAUUCAGGUCGACAGGUCUUUCCAAAGCAUAACUACUCAAAAUUCAAAACUGCUUUCACUUCCAAGUUCGUGCAUUUUGGUGCUUGUGUGAUUGCCAGAAGAACCUUAAUCUACAAUAGCUUUGAAUUUGGUGUGGAGAUUAAGCUUGAAUAUAGCCUAGAGAGACGGAGAGAUUUAAAUGAGUUUUGAAUUCCCAAAUGUGGAGUCGAGACCAUCACGAAUUCUAACUAAAAUUCAGUGUCGUUGGGUCGGUGUAAUGGAAAGUGGAGCAAGGAAGGCUACUUUAGUGGAGGGAAAACCCAGAGAGUAUAAGCCAACUGCACGUGCGAACAGCCGGAAAUCCUUUCCUUCAAGCUUCUUUGGUAGAGAAUCGUUACUGGUACUGCUCUGCCUCACGGCUUUGUUACUGCUGCUUCCCCUUAUAUUGCCACCAUUGCCUCCCCCACCCUUCAUGUUGCUGUUGCUUCCGAUAGGCAUACUUGCUGUGCUUCUGAUUUUGGCUUUCAUGCCGUAUGAUGUUCGAGAUAUUGCAUCGUCUUAUGUCUAACAAGAAUGCAAUACCCGUCCCCUUUUUCUGCAAUACGAAUGAUUUCUUGUAUCUUUUUUUUUUUUCUCUUUCGAAAGAUCGCAUGGUAUCGCUUUCUGUUAUCUUUGUUAUUUUUUUCUAUGAACUUUGCUAAGCUCACACGCAUGCACAAGUCAGCUAAUUCACACGCCGAUGCACAUGCCAGCGUGGCACAUAAGUGUAAUGUCCAAGCAAUUCAUCAGAAGGUAGCCAAUAUGUAGAUUCCUUAUACCAAUAAUCAGGGUGGUCCGCUAAUCAAGUGGGCCACAAUUAACUGAACAAAUACACAAUUGUGAAAAAAUUGGCCGAAUUUUUCUAAUCCAGCAAUUUGUUUCUAACAUCAUGGCACACCUACAGAAUGGAACACCUUUAUCUCUUGAUACUAGUAUAUACCUAAUGAGGCCCACAUGAUGGAUGGCUUGAAUAUUUCACAUGUGUGCCACGCUGGCAUAUGUGGUGUGUGUGCAUUAGCUGACUUGUAUGCGCCUGUGGGCUUAGCGAAGCUCUUUUUCUAUAUAGUGUUCUUCUGUAAUCAUAGGAUGCCCCUUUCCUAGAAAUGUCUUUUAUACAUUUUCUGAUAUUUGUUUUC